AGGAUAAUACCCUCGUGCUUGAUGGUACUGGAAGAAUAAGCACGGCUAACUACGUGCCAGCAGCCGCGGUAAUACGUAGGGUGCGAGCGUUAAUCGGAAUUACUGGGCGUAAAGCGUGCGCAGGCGGUCUUGUAAGACAGUCGUGAAAGCCCCGGGCUUAACCUGGGAACUGCGAUUGUGACUGCAAGGCUAGAGUGUGUCAGAGGGGGGUGGGAAUUCCACGUGUAGCAGUGAAAUGCGUAGAGAUGUGGAGGAACACCGAUGGCGAAGGCAGCCCCCUGGGAUAACACUGACGCUCAUGCACGAAAGCGUGGGGAGCAAACAGGAUUAGAUACCCCUGGUAGUCCACGCCCUAAAACGAUGUCAACUGGUUGUUGGAAGGGUAACCUUUUAGUAACGAAGCUAACGCGUGAAGUUGACCGCCUGGGGAGUACGGUCGCAAGAUUAAAACUCAAAAGGAAUUGACGG
rnacentral:rRNA from 1 species